rnacentral:rRNA from 1 species
AGAGCGAACGCUGGCGGCAUGCCUAAUACAUGCAAGUCGAACGAACUCUUCGGAGUUAGUGGCGCACGGGUGCGUAACGCGUGGGAAUCUGCCCCUUGGUUCGGAAUAACAGUUGGAAACGACUGCUAAUACCGGAUGAUGACGAAAGUCCAAAGAUUUAUCGCCAAGGGAUGAGCCCGCGUAGGAUUAGCUAGUUGGUGAGGUAAAGGCUCACCAAGGCAACGAUCCUUAGCUGGUCUGAGAGGAUGAUCAGCCACACUGGGACUGAGACACGGCCCAGACUCCUACGGGAGGCAGCAGUAGGGAAUAUUGGACAAUGGGCGAAAGCCUGAUCCAGCAAUGCCGCGUGAGUGAUGAAGGCCUUAGGGUUGUAAAGCUCUUUACCCGAGAUGAUAAUGACAGUAUCGGAGAAUAAGCCCCGGAUAACCUCCGCGCCAGCCAGCCGC